GAUGAACGCUAGCGGCAGGCUUAACACAUGCAAGUCGAACGGCAGCACAGGUAGCAAUACUGGGUGGCGAGUGGCGCACGGGUGCGUAACGCGUAUGCAACCUACCUCUAUCUGGGAGAUAGCCCGAAGAAAUUCGGAUUAAUACCCCAUAAUAUAUGUCUUUCGUCAUGUUAGACAUAUUAAAGACUUUGGUCGGAUAGAGAUGGGCGAUGCGUGACAUUAGCUAGUUGGUAAGGUAACGGCUUACCAACGGCUACGAUGUCUAGGGGUCGUGAGAGGAGUUAUCCCCACCACUGGUACUGAGACACGGACCAGACUCCUACGGGAGGCAGCAGUGAGGAAUAAUUGGACAAAUGGGCGAAAGACCUGAUCCAGCCAUGCCGCGUGCA
rnacentral:rRNA from 1 species